AGAGUUUGAUCCUGGCUCAGAUUGAACGCUGGCGGAAUGCUUUACACAUGCAAGUCGAACGGCAGCACGGACUUCGGUCUGGUGGCGAGUGGCGAACGGGUGAGUAAUAUAUCGGAACGUAUCCAAUAAUGGGGGAUAACUAAUCGAAAGGUUGGCUAAUACCGCAUACGCCCUACGGGGGAAAGCAGGGGAUCUUCGGACCUUGCGUUAAUGGAGCGGCUGAUAUCUGAUUAGCUAGUUGGUGAGGUAAAGGCUCACCAAGGCGACGAUCAGUAGCUGGUCUGAGAGGACGACCAGCCACACUGGAACUGAGACACGGUCCAGACUCCUACGGGAGGCAGCAGUGGGGAAUUUUGGACAAUGGGCGCAAGCCUGAUCCAGCCAUUCCGCGUGAGUGAAGAAGGCCUUCGGGUUGUAAAGCUCUUUCGCAAGGGAAGAAAACUUACUUUUUAAUAAAGAGUGAGGUUGACGGUACCUUGAUAAGAAGCACCGGCUAACUACGUGCCAGCAGCCGCGGUAAUACGUAGGGUGCGAGCGUUAAUCGGAAUUACUGGGCGUAAAGCGUGCGCAGGCGGUUUUGUAAGUCAGAUGUGAAAUCCCCGAGCUCAACUUGGGAACUGCGUUUGAAACUGCAAGACUAGAAUAUGUCAGAGGGGGGUAGAAUUCCACGUGUAGCAGUGAAAUGCGUAGAGAUGUGGAGGAAUACCAAUGGCGAAGGCAGCCCCCUGGGAUAAUAUUGACGCUCAUGCACGAAAGCGUGGGGAGCAAACAGGAUUAGAUACCCUGGUAGUCCACGCCCUAAACGAUGUCUACUAGUUGUUGGUGGAGUAAAAUCCAUGAGUAACGCAGCUAACGCGUGAAGUAGACCGCCUGGGGAGUACGGUCGCAAGAUUAAAACUCAAAUGAAUUGACGGGGGCCCGCACAAGC
rnacentral:rRNA from 1 species